rnacentral:rRNA from 1 species
UACGUAGGGUGCAAGCAUUAAUCGGAUUUAUUGGGCGUAAAGGGCGCGUAGGCGGGGAAGUCAGUCAGAUGUGAAAUCCCGGAGCUCAACUCCGGAACAGCAUUUGAAACUGCUUCUCUAGAGGGUAGGCGGAGAAAACGGAAUUCCACAAGUAGCGGUGAAAUGCGUAGAUAUGUGGAAGAACACCAGUGGCGAAGGCGGUUUUCUAGCUUACACCUGACGCUGAGGCGCGAAAGCGUGGGGAGCAAACAGG